GAAGAGAGAGCUGCUCUGUGAGGGAGUGAGAGCUGCUCUGUGCUGGGAUUACAGGCAUGAGCCACUGUGCCCGGCCUGUAAAUUACUUUUCAUUAUAAAACUGGGCCGGGUGCAGUUUUGGGAGGCCGAGGCGGGCAGAUCACCUAAAGUCAGGAGUUCAAGACCAGCCUGGCCAACACGGUGAAACCCUGUCUCUACUCAAAAUGACUUUUUAAGUCUUUGCAGGGAUAAAAUCUACGCAGUGCCUACAAUCACAAUCUUAAAAGACCAGGUGCAUCAGGAUUCAAAACCAGCAGGCUCCUGGAAGGAGACAAAGGAAGCCCUCAGCAGGGACGUGUGCCUCCGUGUUGCUGCAGAUGUGCUCCUCCAGAGCCAUGAGCAGAGCCAGACUUAAACUAUGUGCUUCAAUCCAACAAGAACCUCCCUCCAGAAACGGAACAGAUGAGGUGUGAUAAUGGCACUGUGGUUAUGGAAGGAUGCCACGCUUUGAGGAGAUUUACACUAAAGUAUGUACUGGUGAAAUGAUAUGCUAUCUGGGAUUCGCUUUAAAUACAGCAAAGAAGAAGAAAAAGAAAGGGAUAAAAAAGCAAAUGUAAAAUAUGCGGAUUCCUUAUUUUUCAUAUGCUACUGAAAUUUUUCAUAGUCAAAUUAAAAAAUUAUAUACUUAAAAA